ACACUAAUCUUCCCAGGGGAACCUGGCCCUUAAUUCGAUAGUCCACGAACUUCUUACCUCUUCUAGUUGGCCAAAAUUUUUAAGAUCUAGGUCAGAAUCAGCUCACAUACCGCCGUUUCGUAGCCUGUCUCGCGAGAGGACAAAAAUAGGCGUCCCAGCAUCAAUUGUUUAGAGCCCUUUGAUGGGCCAAAAGACUGAUCGCUAAUAAUUCAGGUAAACGUGUGGCCUAUGGGGAGGGGGUGCUGGGUUACAGUAAGUGUUUGCUGUGGAUCUUAUAACCUUAAGGGUUAAGUGAAAGAGGACUUGGAAGUAAUGAGGCUGGACAAUGGCCUCAUGAAUUAGGCUCUAGUGUGUGU
rnacentral:rRNA from 1 species